CAGAGACACAGGCAGAGGGAGAAGCAGGCUCCAUGCACUGGGAGCCGGACGUGGGAUUCGAUCACGGGUCUCCAGGAUCGCGCCCUGGGCCAAAGGCAGGCACCAAACCGCUGCGCCACCCAGGAUCCCGCGUGUUAAUAGAGGUGUAGUGGAGAGACAAACACACUGGCUGUUAUCAUGGAAAGAGAUACAUUAAAGAAAGAGAUGCACAGAUGCACAAGAUGCCAUCUGACACGGCCGGGUGAGUGUACCUGUGAUGCAAGCACAGUGGACCAGCCCUCAGAGAGCACCAAGCUGUCAAAUGAAAGCGUG